AAUCAACGCUGGCGGCGUGCCUAACACAUGCAAGUCGAACGCGAAAGCCCCGCAAGGGGUCAGUAGAGUGGCCAACGGGUGAGUAACACGUGGGUGACCUGCCUUCGAGUGGGGGAUAACGUCCCGAAAGGGACGCUAAUACCGCAUGACAUCCUGCUUUUGAAAAAGCGGAGAUCAAAGCUGGGGAUCGCAAGACCUAGCGCUUGAAGAGGGGCCCGCGCCUGAUUAGCUAGUUGGUGAGGUAACGGCUCACCAAGGCGACGAUCAGUAUCCGGCCUGAGAGGGCGGACGGACACACUGGGACUGAGACACGGCCCAGACUCCUACGGGAGGCAGCAGUGGGGAAUUGUUCGCAAUGGGCGCAAGCCUGACGACGCAACGCCGCGUGGAGGACGAAGAUCUUCGGGUCGUAAACUCCGGUCGAGCGGGACGAACGCUUCGCGGAUGAAUAAUCCGCGGAAUUGACGGUACCGCUAAAGGAAGCCCCGGCUAACUCCGUG
rnacentral:rRNA from 1 species